rnacentral:lncRNA from 1 species
GUGCAUGGUGGGGUUAAGAAAAGGAGUGAAGGAGACAAGUAAUUNAAGGCAUUCCAAAUUUCUCAUUCAGGUUGGUGGAAAAAAACGAGAGGUGUGAGACAAGAGCACGUGAGAAUUUUUCUUCAUGCAGAAAAGAAAGGCUUCCAAAAUUUAAGUUGUUUUCACUUUGCGUGAUGAAAGCCUUUGCCUGCUAAGAUGAAAAAGAAGAGAAGCAAGGUAGUAGGGUAAUAGUGGUGGUUAAAGAAAAGAAGGUGAUGUUGUCUGUACCAGUCAUUAAAGGUAAAAUUUUGAUGGAUGGAUACAAAGCAUUGGAACAAGCAGGAGUAUCAUUCUCCUUUUCAAAUUAUAAUGUUGCAUCAUCAAAUCCUUUCCAGAUUCUUGUUAUUUCCUAUGUGUUUUAUGGAUUCCAUUGAUCUUUCCUG